UACGUAGGGUGCAGGCGUUAAUCGGAAUUACUGGGCGUAAAGCGCGUGUAGGCGGCUACGCAAGUCGGAUGUGAAAGCCCACGGCUCAACCGUGGAAGUGCACCCGAAACUAUGUAGCUUGAGUUCUGGAGAGGAAGGCGGAAUGCUUGGUGUAGAGGUGAAAUUCGUAGAUAUCAAGCGGAACACCGGUGGCGAAGGCGGCCUUCUGGACAGUGACUGACGCUGAGACGCGAAAGCGUGGGGAGCAAACAGG
rnacentral:rRNA from 1 species